UUCUGGAACAGGCAGAAGCACAG
rnacentral:piRNA from 1 species